rnacentral:rRNA from 1 species
CCUACCUUUUAGCGGGGGAUAACUUUUGGAAACGAAAGAUAAUACCGCAUGUUAAUAUUAUUAUCGCAUGAGAAAAUAUUCAAAGAUCCGUUUGGAUCACUAAAAGAUGGGGAUGCGGCGUAUUAGUUAGUAGGCGAGGUAAUGGCUCACCUAGACGAUGAUACGUAGCCGAACUGAGAGGWUGAUCGGCCACAUUGGGACUGAGAUACGGCCCAGACUCCUACGGGAGGCAGCAGUAGGGAAUUUUUCACAAUGGACGAAAGUCUGAUGAAGCAAUGCCGCGUGAGUGAUGACGGCCUUC